GAAAAAAGAAAGAAAAAGAAGAGACAUGCAGAUGCUUAUCCCUUCACUCUCUCCCCACCACUCCCCAUUCCAUGGUGGCCUCCGCCUGUUCUCCCCGCUGCCUGCUCUCCUCCGCAUGCCGCGCCGUCGCACGACGCCUCCUCCCUGUUGCCACGAUGUCGCCCAGCGCCUCCUCCUCCACCCCUCUGCCUCGCCCCGCCGCCUCCUCGCCGCACGACGGCCUCGCCUCGCCAGCAACCCCGCCGGUCUUACCUAGAUAAACUCUGCCGCUGCCAUCCCCAUGUCCCAGCGCAGAUCUAGACGGGAGCUAGAGGGGCAUGCUGGACACGAUGCGGGAGCGGGCAUAUCAUAGCGGACCGAGAUCCAGUGCGUCUACGUGCCCGCCGUCAUCGUUGCCCCCCGUGCUUGGCUCCCACACUCGCUCCAGGUAGGUGCUCGCAGCUCGCCUACUGCUCGGCUGCUCCAGGUACUUGACGGACUCAGGUAGUUGUAAUGGGAUGUCAGCUUCUUAAUCAGUACUCAUAGUUUUUGUGUACCUAUCAUUUGUCAAUUGAAGUGGAAAUGAAAUUCUAGUCUUAUUUUACUAAAUUGUGAGAUUCAGGAUCUGGUUGAUAUUUUGAGAGUUUUUACCAUUUAGGUUUUUGGUAACGCACAUCAGGAAUGCACACUUUAAUUUAUUUUAAGUGUGUACCUAUCAUUUGUUGUGUUUUAACAUAUCUUGCCACUACUCUGUAGUUAAAGCACAACGUGAGGCUGCAGCAGAAGCUUGAGGAAUGCAGGGGCUAAUAAUAGUACUCAUCAACCAAAAAUACCGGCGUCGUCAACCAUGCUUUGAACUUUUGGAGAUCAAGCUGUACGGUUGUACCAUGAAGAUUUUUGAUGCAGUUUAAGGAUUCAAGUGGCGAUUGCAACCCAAAACAUUGCAAAGAAUCUGCUACCAGAGGCUUCAUUAUGCACACCUUUUCUUUUUACAAAAUGGAGUCUGAUCUGCUGUCAUCACAUCACCAGGUAUGCCUACAGCACCAAUGUUUGUACAGUGACAUUUAUUCACACACAAAUGAAGAUAUUCUAAGGUUAGAACGAACAUCACCUUCAACACCUGGUGUGUAUCGUAGUUGGGUGACAGCAGAUUGCGCAGUGGGCCUCUCGGCGGUGUGAAAAUCCGGCAGAAGAAAUCACUUGAUCAUAUAUUUGAUUAUACUUCUGAUUGCUCAAUCAUAUAUAAAGAACAAAAUAUAAUGGACAAACCAGGUGAUAAUGAUAUUGCCGCGUGUGUCCUAGAUGGGGUGUGUUCUGCAUUAAGAAUAGUAGAUGUAGCUUUCUUAUGAGCCAUGUUUAGUGCAUACCUCUCCCUUUCCCUUUGUCUCUUCAACUCUUUAGGACCUGCCAUUUGGCCUGCGUGACAAAAUCUUUACAUAGGCUCGAGUUGGUGAUAUAUUUAAGUUACUUACCUGAGUUGGUGAUGUUGAAUAGGUCCUCAAAUUGGGUCCCUAAGUCGUCACGCUGAGUCGUAAUUAUUGAAAUUUUCCUUGUUACAAAAUGUCCGGUUUGAUUUGAAGGAAUUUGGAUCAUGAAAUGGAGCCUGAUCGGACAUCAUCACAUCAGCAUUUAUGCCUGUACCACCAAUGUCAGUACAGUAACAUUUUUUUACACACAAAUGGAGUUCCAAAUUUGUUAGGCUGAGAGGAUGCCAUAUGCAACUGUCUCAAUCAGGAUCUUAGUGUUCUCAAUCAUGGUUGUUGUACAUGAAAGAUUUACUUGAGCCAUAAACAGGAUGGUUGCAGGAGAAAAAUAAGUACAAUGAUUUGGUGUUUUCAAUGCUUUGAGCUGAAAAACAGUUCAGAUACCUGAAUUGCUGAUGGUCCUGAAGUCGUUACGCCGAGAGGAUGCCAUAUGCAACUGUCACAAUCAGGAUCUUAGUGUUCCCAAUCAUGGUUGUUGUGCUUGAAAGAUUUAGUCAUGAGCCAUAAAUAGGAUGGUUGUAGGAGAAAAAGAAGUACAAUGAUUUGGUGCUUUCAAUGUUUUGAGCUGAAAAACAGUUCAGAUUAUAUGCUUCCAGCCGUGAAACUGCUUAUCGCAUUAGUCUUUUUCAUUGUAUUUUAGCGCUUCCGGUGAUUCCUUCUCUGUCAUCAUUGUGCUUUUCAGGUUUGAUUCCUUUUGUGACACAUUAAGUGGCCUCACAGGUUGGUUGCACGUUUCCCUCUAUUAUGUAAGUAGUAACCCAUAGUGCCGCUUUUUUCCUUGGUGCUAAUAGAAACAAAUUCUCAAACAUAGUACACAAGAAAUAUUCGAUGGCAGGAACACCAGUACGAUAUUAUGCAUAUAUAAUCAUGAACAUACUACAAUAUUUGUUUCCUCAGGUUCUGUGCCCAGUUCAAUCACCGCUCCACACAGUAGGGUUAACCGAAGAUUCUCUUAGGUUCUGGGCCUCUGGACUGUACAAAAACACCAUGAGAAAACAAAACACCAUGAGAAAACUCUGUUAGAGCCAGCACACCUAUAGACUGUGAACCCAAGUAGCAGAACAUGACAAUUUUUUGUGAAAUCGGUCACUCCAUCUAACCACACUGAUUAAUGUGUUUAUCCAAGAAUAGUAUUCAGUAGAAUAGCAGACAAGAAUGGUAAAUCUCGACAGAUAGGAGAGAAAUUGUGCAGUAAGGCAGCAAAGCGAAGCUGGGACUGAACCUGGAGACCAUAUCGGAUGACGCCGAUCUGCUCAACACCCUUGAACGGCUCCGGGAGCAGCGGGAACAGGUUUCGCCCUCGUGCCACCAGGUUUUGCCGUCCUGUUGCUGGUUGGCGAGCCGAUACUUCCCGUCGGCCUUGUUGGUAUCGGAAACGCUGGAGAAGAGCUACGCCGCAGGCAUGAAGUCCUUCCCGGUGACCAGGUAUCCGUCGGGGACUCGAACGUCCACCAUACGACCGUGUCGUCAACGUGGAACAACACAAAGUUGUCGUCAUCUCGCAGGGCGCCCGCAACUCAGGCAGAUCUGAUUGGGCGACCAGGUGGGUUUCCAUUGGCCGUGGAAAUCAUACCUGGCCGAUCUGAUGGGGCUGUCUGCUGCUUCAAAACUCAGGCAAAUUGAUGCAUAAUAAUCUUGUUGUAGCCUGACAAAUAUGUGAAUAUCUGAUUGUAGGUGAAAGGAGGGGCGGCCACCCACUCGACGGUGCGGUGCAGGGUGGCAAGGGAGCCGGCAGGGAGGCGUCAACGCGGUGCAUGGCCGUGAGGGAACCGUCUAGGGAGGCGACGAUGCGAUGCAGGGAUCGAGGCCGCCGUGCAGGGAGGCGACGGGGCUGCUGAGCUUCGUCUGGGGCGGUGGCGAGGAAAGGCAGGGAGAGGGGCGAGGGAGACGAUUAGGUUUAGUUUCCUUUUAUUCAAAUUGAUUAGAUGGUUAGAUUAGCGUGAUUUGAGGGCCUGCGGAGGUGGGAUGGAGAGUUUCAUGUUUUCAUCUAGUGGAGUAUGGUCAGUCCAUGUAAACUGCUAAGCGCACACCAGAUCUCGAAUAAAUUAAUAAUGGCUGUUAGAUUGGGUCGUGUAGGCUU